UAAGUGUCACAGAAAGCAAUCAACCAAAAAUAUGUAUUCCUGGAUUUAUAAGAUUUAUUUUCUCUCUUAUCAAGCUUGGAAUAGGAAUGUCUCGAAUUCAAGAAAUUCAAGGGAGGAAAAAAAAUCAGGAUGCCUUCCAUUAAGACUUCUUGGGAAUAUUACUGAUGCUUCAAUCGCGAAUGAAACAGAAGACUGGACAA